UUAACUAUGACUCAAGGAAAAAUACAUAAUAAAAAUAUAAAUAAACACAUAAUAAUUAUAUACAGGUUUAAAUAAGUUGUUGGCAAAAUUGUAAUUUUUGGUAAAAGCUUUUAUCGCUGACUGUACCUUUCUUUCAACAGGCAACUAAUACUCAUCGAGACAAUUCUAAAAACCCCAAACACAAUUAGGUUGCGUUGUUUUAUCACAGAGUUCAUCAGAUCAGCUAGAUGGUACCAUAAUAUUGCAUUGUCACCCGACUUACACAUGUAUGCAAAUUUUCUGCUUCAUCGGAAACCGGGAAUGUAUAUAACUAUGUACAAACAUACAUAGUUACAUUGCAGGUUAAGAAAAAGCUUGUAAAAAGUUCCGAAGUGUCUCCAAAGCAAUUCCAAUAGAGCAAAGCAGCAAAACUUGGAAAUAUACGGUUACCUUCCCGCAAAGAACCACGAAAGCCGAAUACAGCAUGCACCGGCAUUGUGCACAUAGCGAGUCAGCAAUGCCAACCUUCACAAUGCGAUGGCAUCACAUAACCAGUUUGUGGGUUACGGCAGGAAAGCCACUGGAACAAAACAAUGGCGCACAAUGGAACAAUAAGUGGCGAGUGGAGGGGCUUUUAGUGAGGCGUUCGCGCUCGUAGUAUGGGUAAGACUGUGGUUUGAGUCCGUUUCCGCUACCGCUUAUAAAUCUAGCGUGUGUUACUCGUAUUACUAAGUAGUGUGGCUGCAACUGCAUAAGAAUCAGUCGUCCCCCAAAACGACGGCGAACGAGUGGGGCGCGAAUGGACACAAUAUCCACAGCAGGGAUGCACAAGAGACCUCUCACAUACUCACCCAAGGAAGGGUGUCGAAUGAAACCCACACAUACAAAUUAGUCGAAUAGAUGCACCUGCGCGAGA